rnacentral:rRNA from 1 species
GACGAACGCUGGCGGCGUGCUUAACACAUGCAAGUCGAACGGAAAGGCCCUGCUUUUGUGGGGUGCUCGAGUGGCGAACGGGUGAGUAACACGUGAGUAACCUGCCCUUGACUUUGGGAUAUCUUCAGGAAACUGGGGCUAAUACCGGAUAGGAGCUCCUGCUGCAUGGUGGGGGUUGGAAAGUUUCGGCGGUUGGGGAUGGACUCGCGGCUUAUCAGCUUGUUGGUGGGGUAGUGGCUUACCAAGGCUUUGACGGGUAGCCGGCCUGAGAGGGUGACCGGCCACAUUGGGACUGAGAUACGGCCCAGACUCCUACGGGAGGCAGCAGUGGGGAAUAUUGCACAAUGGGCGGAAGCCUGAUGCAGCAACGCCGCGUGCGGGAUGACGGCCUUCGGGUUGUAAACCGAUUUCGCCUGUGACGAAGCGUGAGUGACGGUAAUGGGUAAAGAAGCACCGGCUAACUACGUG